AAGCCAAAUUCAGCCUGACAGCAUUGACAGUUCCGCAAAACUGCCUCUCUGCGUAAAAGUAGUAUAAACGCGAAAGUCGAAAGUUUCUCGUGUUGUGGAAGCGUGUCCAGAUGUGGCAGGCGGCAGGUCGUGUUCAGUACUAUCGUAACUGAGGACUUUCACGUAUCUAUGAGCUGUUAGCAGUUCCACCCAAAGUGAUUUCCCUUCUUAACUGACUGGAUGGUUUAAUUGAAAAACUAUUUGAGGCCCAAAGAGGUUUUACUACCUGCUGCUCUGAGGCUAUCAGUCAGCGUGAUGUCCUCUUCAGACCAACUCAAGUGUGAAGAUGUCCGACUGUUUGAAUAUAAAACAGCCUUUUCUCAAACGAGAACACAGAAACAUGCUCUUAAUGAAUUAUGCAGAUGUUGACAAUACAAUGCUAAAAUAGCAUUGUGCAAAAGCAGUGCUAAUUCUAGCUCUAUUAUACUCUGACAGCUGAGGGUAUGACACAGUUUUACGCAUGUGUGGUCUCAAUAGUGAAUGAGCUCAUAACUGUGGUAAACAGUGAAAUGUUCCAUCUAUUAAACCAUGCUAUGAUA